rnacentral:rRNA from 1 species
AGUGAACGCUGGCGGUAGGCCUAACACAUGCCAGUCGAACGGCAGCACAGUAAGAGCUUGCUCUUACGGGUGGCGAGUGGCGGACGGGUGAGGAAUACAUCGGAAUCUACUUUUUCGUGGGGGGUAACGUAGGGAAACGUACGCUGAUACCGCAUACGACCUACGGGUGAAAGCAGGGGAUCUUCGGACCUUGCGCGAUUGAAUGAGCCGAUGUCGGAUUAGCUAGUUGGCGGGGUAAAGGCCCACCAAGGCGACGAUCCGUAGCUGGUCUGAGAGGAUGAUCAGCCACACUGGAACGGAGACACGGUCCAGACUCCUACGGGAGGCAGCAGUGGGGAAUAUUGGACAAUGGGCGCAAGCCUGAUCCAGCCCUACCGCGUGGGUGAAGAAGGCCUUCGGGUUGUAAAGCCCUUUUGUUGGGAAAGAAAAGCAGCAGGUUAAUACCCCGCUGUUCUGACGGUACCCAAAGAAUAAGCCCCGGCUAACUUCGUG